ensembl:misc_RNA 7SK 7SK RNA
GGAUGUGAGGGCGAUCUGGCUGUGACAUCUGUCACCCCGCUGAUCGCCAGGGUUGAUUCAGCUGAUCUGGCUGGCUAGGUGGGUGUCCCGUCCUCCCCUCACUGCUCCAUGUGCAUCCCUCCCGAAGCUGCGCGCUCGGUCGAAGAGGACGACCAUCCCCACUAGAGGAGGACCAGUCUUUGGUCAAGGGUAUACGAGUAGCUGCGCUCCCCUGCUAGAACCUCCAAACAAGCUCUCAAAAAUUAUGCUCUAAUAUCUUCCCUGUCAUCUGUGCAUCCCAUGAAACGAUGCUUGCUCAAAAAACAUCCAGGACCCCAGGUGUAUUUCCU